GGUCUUGCGCAAGGGGGCCCCAUGAACCACGUCAGGACAGGAAUGUAGCAGCGUUAAGUGGAUCGUCAACUGUGCCGCGAGGGUGCCUG
rnacentral:SRP_RNA from 1 species